AUUGAACGCUGGCGGCAUGCCUUACACAUGCAAGUCGAACGGUAACGGGCCUUCGGGUGCCGACGAGUGGCGAACGGGUGAGUAAUGUAUCGGAACGUACCAUUGAGUGGGGGAUAACGUAGCGAAAGUUACGCUAAUACCGCAUAUUCUCUCCGGAGGAAAGCAGGGGACCGCAAGGCCUUGCGCUCUUUGAGCGGCCGAUAUCAGAUUAGCUAGUUGGUGGGGUAAAAGCUCACCAAGACGACGAUCUGUAGCGGGUCUGAGAGGAUGAUCCGCCAAACUGGAACUGAGACACGGUCCAGACUCCUACGGGAGGCAGCAGUGGGGAAUUUUGGACAAUGGGGGCAACCCUGAUCCAGCCAUGCCGCGUGAGUGAAGAAGGCCCUCGGGUUGUAAAGCUCUUUCAGCCGGGAAGAAAUCGCAUGGGCUAAUACCCCGUGCGGAUGACGGUACCGGAAUAAGAAGCACCGGCUAACUACGUGCCAGCCGCCGCAGUAA
rnacentral:rRNA from 1 species